rnacentral:rRNA from 1 species
ACAGUCCUACGGGAGGCAGCAGUAGGGAAUCUUCCACAAUGGGCGAAAGCCUGAUGGAGCAACGCCGCGUGGGUGAAGAAGGUCUUCGGAUCGUAAAACCCUGUUGUUAGAGAAGAAAGUGCGUGAGAGUAACUGUUCACGUUUCGACGGUAUCUAACCAGAAAGCCACGGCUAACUACGUGCCAGCAGCCGCGGUAAUACGUAGGUGGCAAGCGUUAUCCGGAUUUACUGGGUGUAAAGGGCGAGUAGACGGCGUUGCAAGUCAGAUGUGAAAGGCUAGGGCUCAACCUUAGGAGAGCAUCUGC